rnacentral:rRNA from 1 species
UACGUAGGGUGCGAGCGUUGUCCGGAAUUAUUGGGCGUAAAGAGCUCGUAGGCGGUGUGUCGCGUCGGCCGUGAAAACCUGCAGCUUAACUGUGGGCUUGCGGUCGAUACGGGCAUCACUGGAGUUCGGCAGGGGAGACUGGAAUUCCUGGUGUAGCGGUGAAAUGCGGUAGAGAGUCGGGAGGAAGGCCGGGUGGCGAAGGCGGCGCUCUGGUACGUGACUGACGCGUGAGACGCGAAAGCGUGGGGAGCCGAACAGG